GACGCGGACUGCCUACAUCCUCCAGGCAGUGGAAAGUGCAUGGGAAGGGGUGGUCAGACGGAAAGCCACAGAUGCUAAAGAACCAUCAGUGACUGAGGAGCAUAAUGGGGAGCCUAACAGGGUCGUGGUGAUGGCAGAGGCAGUCAGUCAAGCGUCAUCACAUCCGGAGAACUCAGAGGAAGAGGAGUGCAUGGGAGCAGCCGCGGCUGUGGGCCCUGCCGUGUGUGGGGUGGAGCUGGACUCACUCAUCUCCCAAGUGAAGGACCUGCUGCCAGAUCUUGGUGAGGGCUUCAUCCUGGCCUGCCUGGAGUACUACCACUACGACCCAGAGCAGGUGAUCAACAAUAUCCUGGAGGAGCGGCUGGCCCCCACCCUCAGCCAGCUGGACCGCAACCUAGACAGAGAAAUGAAACCAGACCCUACACCCCUGCUGACGUCUCGCCACAACGUCUUCCAGAAUGACGAGUUUGAUGUGUUCAGCAGGGACUCAGUAGACCUGAGCCGGGUUCACAAGGGCAAGAGCACCAGGAAGGAGGAAAACACGCGGAGUUUGCUGAAUGACAAGCGUGCAGUGGCAGCACAGCGGCAGCGCUACGAGCAGUACAGUGUGGUGGUGGAGGAGGUAGGCCACGAAGCCCAGGUCUCUGCUGGGCCAGGGAGACCAGGCUAGCCCCUGAGCCCCACAAACCCAUGCUUAUGCCAUUGCAGGUGCCACUGCAGCCGGGCGAGAGCCUGCCCUACCACAGUGUUUACUACGAGGAUGAGUACGAUGACACAUACGAUGGCAACCAGGUGGGCGCCAAUGAUGCAGACUCUGACGACGAGCUCAUCAGCCGCAGGCCAUUCACCAUCCCUCAGGUGCUGAGAACCAAAGUGCCUAGAGAAGGGCAGGAGGAGGAUGACGACGAUGAGGAAGACGAGGCUGACGAGGAGGCUCCCAAGCCCGACCAUUUCGUGCAGGACCCUGCAGUGCUGAGAGAGAAGGCAGAAGCCAGGCGCAUGGCCUUUCUCGCCAAGAAAGGGUACCGGCAUGACAGCUCAACAGCAGUGGCCGGCAGCCCCCGAGGCCACGGGCAGAGCCGCGAGACAACCCAGGAACGUAGGAAGAAGGAAGCCAACAAGGCGACAAGAGCCAACCACAACCGGAGAACCAUGGCCGACCGCAAGAGAAGCAAAGGCAUGAUCCCAUCCUGAGACCGGUGCAGGGCCAGCGGGGAGGCAGCGGCACCAGACUCACCAGGCCGCGCUCCCAUCGCCUGGGGCCUCCUCACUAGGGGCCCCAAGUUCAACUCGACCCCUCAACAGCCUCAGCUUUGCAGCCCCUGAGAAGGCCGCCUCUCAUCUACCAGCCAGCCAUGAGCGCCUUCCUGCAGAACACACAGUGCCUUAUGCCACAGCCGAAGAAUCCGUGGGGCCGGCAAGCAGGCACCUUCCCCCAGCUGCGCUGGUGGGAAAGAGAUGGGGAUGGAGUCCCAAGGCAAGCGCCCCAAACCUCGGGCCACAAGACACCACUUCCCCUUUACCCUGGACAGCAGGAAACCUGUAUAUUCAAAAACAGAAAAAGGCCUGCUAAUAAAAUUUUUGACCCUUUCAAA
rnacentral:sRNA from 1 species